rnacentral:rRNA from 1 species
UGGGGAAUUUUUGUCAAUGGGGGAAACCCUGAACAAGCAACGCCGCGUGAAGGACGAAGGCCUUCGGGUUGUAAACUUCUGUCGGAGGGGACGAAAGCGGUUGAGGUUAAUACCUUUGAUCGUUGACGGUACCUUACGAGGAAGCCCCGGCUAACUCCGUGCCAGCAGCCGCGGUAAUACGGGGGGGGCAAGCGUUGUUCGGAAUUACUGGGCGUAAAGGGCGCGCAGGCGGGCUAGACAGUCUCUCGUGAAAUCCCACGGCUCAACCGUGGAACUGCGGGAGAUACUACUAGUCUUGAGUCCGGGAGAGGAGAGCGGAAUUCCCAGUGUAGCGGUGAAAUGCGUAGAUAUUGGGAGGAACAUCAGUGGCGAAGGCGGCUCUCUGGACCGGUACUGACGCUGAGGCGCGAAAGCUAGGGGAGCAAACGGG